GUGCCAGCAGCCGCGGUAAGACGAACCGUCCUAACGUUGUUCGGAAUCACUGGGCUUAAAGGGCGCGUAGGCGGCUUGCCAAGUCAGGGGUGAAAUCCUGCAGCUUAACUGUAGAAGGGCCUUUGAUACUGGCGAGCUCGAGGGAGGUAGGGGUAUGUGGAACUUCCGGUGGAGCGGUGAAAUGCGUUGAUAUCGGAAGGAACGCCGGUGGCGAAAGCGACGUACUGGACCUCUUCUGACGCUGAGGCGCGAAAGCUAGGGGAGCAAACGGGAUUAGAUACCCCCGUAGUCC
rnacentral:rRNA from 1 species